rnacentral:rRNA from 1 species
UACGUAGGCAGCAAGCGUUGUUCGGAGUUACUGGGCGUAAAGGGUGCGUAGGCGGUCCUAUAAGUAUGGUGUGAAAUCUCCCGACUUAACUGGGAGGGUGCGCUAUAGACUGUGGGACUAGAGUGUGGGAGAGGAAAGUGGAAUUCCUGGUGUAGCGGUGAAAUGCGUAGAUAUCAGGAGGAACACCGGUGGUGUAAACGGCUUUCUGGACCAUAACUGACGCUGAGGCACGAAAGCGUGGGUAGCAAACAGG